rnacentral:rRNA from 1 species
GACGAACGCUGGCGGCGUGCUUAACACAUGCAAGUCGAACGAAGAGCGAUGGAAGCUUGCUUCUAUCAAUCUUAGUGGCGAACGGGUGAGUAACGCGUAAUCAACCUGCCCUUCAGAGGGGGACAACAGUUGGAAACGACUGCUAAUACCGCAUACGAUCUAACCUCGGCAUCGAGGAUGGAUGAAAGGUGGCCUCUAUUUAUAAGCUAUCACUGAAGGAGGGGAUUGCGUCUGAUUAGCUAGUUGGAGGGGUAACGGCCCACCAAGGCGAUGAUCAGUAGCCGGUCUGAGAGGAUGAACGGCCACAUUGGGACUGAGACACGGCCCAGACUCCUACGGGAGGCAGCAGUGGGGAAUCUUCCGCAAUGGACGAAAGUCUGACGGAGCAACGCCGCGUGAGUGAUGACGGCCUUCGGGUUGUAAAGCUCUGUUAAUCGGGACGAAAGGCCUUCUUGCGAAUAGUUAGAAGGAUAGACG